AUGACUGGAUCCCACAACCCUGAGAUCGUGACCUGAACCGAAAUCAAGAGUUGGCCACUCACUCGACUGAGCCACCCAGACAUCCCGAGGGAAAGCUCCUUAUAAUAAGAAUGAAGAUCUUCUCCCAAGAAAAUAUUUUGAGGUUGACUUUCCGGUCACAGUCACGAGAAAGCUACACAGAAUCAAGCCUCCCUCCGUCAGGAGUCCUGGGAUACUUGGCGGGGUAUUCCAACUUUGCAGGAUGCUUUUCCACAGCAGACCAGUUUUUCCAGAGAUGUGCUGGACUUUGCUGAUGUCAUCUGGGUACAGCAAAAAUCAACAGACCUUCCAAACGUGAUCCUAACACUGAAGGCGGAAGCGACACAGUGGAAGAACUUGUCCCAGUCUUCACCGCAGGGACUGAAGAGCUCAGACUCAGCUGCAGUCUGGAAACUGAAGAACACCAUCAGGGACAGAACAGCAUCGGGUGAGGGAGAUGGACGACCACAUCAGCUUGGAGUGGCGGGAUUACAGAAUAUCCCCCAGGAGCUUCCCCAGGAAAAGAGUUUGGAUGUUGGGAGCAUAACCGCCACACCCUCCAUAGCUCGGUAGUCGCCUCAGCCUCUGCUGGCAUAGAGCAAUAAAGAAGCACAGACAAAGGUCAGGGCCAGAGUCUCCAUUGACUCUAUCCAGUUUUCAUUUUCUCAUACUUGGGCUCACCUCAUCAGGGCUGUAUGGUAAGAACUAGAUUUACCCUUGAGUUGACAAUGUUUAUGGAGUUUCUACCCAAGGCUUCACAGCAGGCACUGGAGAAAGAUGACAAGAGCUCUCUCUCGAGGCCUUCUGUUUACUGGAGAACAAGAACAAGUAAAUAGGCACUGCAUCAUAGAAAACCGGGUGCUGUGUGGACUUAUGAAAUUUCCCAGGAUGGGUCCCUCCAGUCUUUGUUGGAGCAUCAGUAACAUCAGUGAAGGGCUUUUAGAGGAAGAGACCUUAGCCUGGAGAGCAGAAAAAUGAGUAGGCAGCAGCUACAGGGCUGGUGUGGUGAAAGGAGCUCCGGAAUAUUCCAGGGAGGGGUGAACAGGUAGGAAUCCUUGGCCUGCUCUGGAAUCUAAAAGCAGGGCAUCCGUGGCUGAAAUGGAAGUGUGAAGAGAGAAGCUGUUGCAGAGGAAGUUGGGCCAAGGAGAGCCUGACCAGCUUGGGAGCUUGAAAGGGCUCAGAACGGGUGUGCCUGGGUAGCUCAGUUGGUUCAGCGUCUGCCUUUGGCUCAGGUCAUGAUCCCAGGGUCCUGGGAGAGGGGCCCGAGGUCAAGCUGCCUGCUUGGUAGGAAGCCUGCAUCCUCCUCUCCCAGAGCUUGUGUUCUCGCUCUGUCAAAUAAAUAAAGAUGAAUAAAAGCCUCAGAACUUUGUGCCAAAAGAGCAAACACCCAUUUCCUGGUAUGGUGUAUAAACAGGCCAGAACGACAAUGUGACAAAUCUGUCUUGACCCUCACCAAAUACUGAUUUCACAAGACAUGUUACUAAGACUCCCAAGGAAUUAUCUUAGAAUUCAUUUACAGAUUCUCCACUGAAACAUUAGCCCCCACACCUGAUGAGGGAGCAGAAGGCUAGUUGAGGUCAAGGCAGAAGCUGACACCCUGCACUCACUGCCCCCAUGCCUCGGUGGGACCUGUGUGACCUUCGUUCAGGAAACUUCCAACCAUCUUCAUGUUCAUUCCUUGCUGGAAGGUAAAACCACCUCACUUGACCAUGGCAAGGUCUCCAGUAUCAUGUAGGUCCUCUUUAGCAUAGGGAAGUGCUUUUGAAACCCUCCCCUUCCCUUUCCUCACCUCCCCCACCUUCCAAGUGUGUAUCAGUUGCCCCCACAACCCUGAUGCAGCUAUUUCUGCCCACGGAUCCUGUCCCUGUGCUUUAAUAAAACCACUAUUUUGCACCAAA